AAGACAUGUGUAUGCAGCUGAGAGGGUCGAUCGGUUUUGACGGUGGAAUAUAAACAAAAGUUUUAAAAUUUAGUGCCACUCUCUCCAUGCAACUCUUCUCUCCAAACUUCUGAGUUUUAUUUUCUCCUGCUUCUCUCUACAAAUUUUCUUUAGAAUUCCACUUAUUCAAGCCGUUUUGUUCUCUCAACAGUUCAAAUUUGAGUGUUUCUGCAGUUUGGAGCUGUUGAAUCUUUUCUCAGUUCCUGGUUUAAUCAUUGGUAAGUGGUUUUUCUUGCCUUGGUGUUUUUUGCACGUUUCAGUUGCAUGCAAGUUGUGUGUCCUUUUCUUAGUUUUGGUUCGGUGGAUAGUGUUUUCUCACCAAUCCAAAGAUUUGUAGGCUGUGUUUGUGCUUGUGGGAUAGCCAAUUCAACAAAGGUUUUCCUUUGGUCCAACUAUUUUAAGGUAAGGGAAGCUAAAUAAUUUAACUUGUAUUGAUAUGUUUAAAAUGAAUUGUAUGAUUGAUUGAAAUGCAUGUUGAAAUUUUGCUUUCAAUUGAAUGUGAGGACCAAACUCUGUGAACUGGAAUUGGGGAGGAUUAUGUAGAAAAAGUGUUCGGUCAGUGUCAAUUUGAGAAAGGGAGAGGGUGAAAAUGAGAGUUUAAGGUUGGGAGUGAGUUCUGACAGUAAGGUGAGUUUGAACAAGUGUAUUGUGACCUGUUAGAACCAUUAAGUUGGCCAAAAAUGUAUAAAAGUGGUAAAUCUGAUUUUGGAUUAUGGAAUUGAGUUUUAUACAUAUUUCUGGGUGAGUUUUGGUGUGAAAUUUCGUAAAGGAAGGUUAGAAAUGUUUAGGCACCCUUAGAUAGGUUUGAAUUGGUGUAGGAAUCAUGUUUGGAAGAUUAGAAGUUAAGAAAAAUAUCUUGUUUCGAUCAGUUGGGCGUUAUUCAUAAUUCUCCAUAUACAGAACUAUACAGAACGUCGAGCGCUUACUGUUGACCGCUUGAUCUUGUUCUAUGAUUGGUCAUUAACUGGGUUCGGUCUCCUUGGAGUCCUACCAGUUCAUGAUCAUUCGGUCUUAGAAGGGUGGUUUCUUAAUAGUGCUUGGUCUUAUACUACUAGCAUUUAGUUUAGUAUUAGUGUUCGGUCUUAUGCUAACACUGGUGUUAGUGUUAGUGCUCGGUCUUAUACUGACAAUUAUGCUAGUGUUAGUACUUGGUCUUAUAUUAGCAGUUAUGCUAGUGUUAGCACUCAGUCUUAUACUAGCAUUCUGUUUAAUCUUAGUAUUCAAAAUAUUCUUUCUAACCCUUUUAACUUCAUAUGUACCUUCAUGUGUGACCUCAAGAACAUCUCACAUUUCCUUGACUUUUUCACAAACAAAAACUCUAUAGAAUUCAUCAAGGGUUAAUGAAGAGGAAAAUAUAUUUUUGACCCUUACAUCAUAAUGUGCUCUUUUAUUUUCAUCAGGUGUCUAUUGUGAAAAUUCAUUAGGCAUAGUUUUUCCAUUCUCAAUCUUUGUAGGUUGAAAAGGUCUAUUAACAAUAGCAUCCCAUACAUCUUUGUCCAUUGAUUCCAAGAAAAUUUUCAUUCUAAUUUUCCAAAAUAGGUAAUUUUCUCCAACAAACAUAGGUGGUUUUUUAUGGAAGCCCCUUCAACAAAACUUUGAUAUAUAUUGGCCAUACAAGAUCUUUAGUCGACUAAUACUCAAUUAACUAGCUUUGGUACCAAUUGUUAAAUUGAAAUGAUACACAAUGGAUGGAUAGUAAAUGGAUUUUUUUAUUUUUGUGGAUCAAGUAACAGGUAAGUAUUAUCCGUAUAUGACCCGACUCGUUGUUAUCUCUAAUAAACAUGUCAAUUUGAAGGUGCAGGGAGAAAACAAGGAGGUGAAGAAAGAAGCUCCCUAGUCUGAAUCGGUUCUGUAUGUAUAUGCGAGAACCGAUAAUGGGUGGUUUGUGAUAGCAAAGGAAUCUGUUCUCGUGAGUGAAUUGAUUUUGCAUGUCAGGGAAUUGAUUCUAGCACGAGUGAAAUUGAUUCUAAAACCUUAGGGAUCAGUUCUAGUUAGGAAGAAACUAAUUCUCCCCCUUAAAAUCUAUUUUUUUAACGCCCUUUGUGUGUAUUAGUUUGUAGGUACUAAUCAUCAACAUCUGUUUUUAAAUUAAUUUUAACUCAAAAUGUUUUUUUUUAUAUUACUUUAAACUAUAAGGAUAAAUGUAUAAUCUUUUAGUUUUAUCUAUUAAAAUCCUUUUUCUUUAUCUAUCACACCUAUAAAAUCUUUUACAAACUUUUCUUUUAAAUCUAUUAACUUUCUUUUUUCCAUCUUUCAAAAUAAACACCACAAUCUCUUCAUACUCAUUCAUUCCCUCUCUCUCUCAAAUCCAUCCUUAAAAAUGAACAUAUCAAAUUCAAUCAAUUUGUAUUUAACCUUUUAUGAAAAUAAAUUUGAAGAUAAAGCUUCAUUUUUAAUAGUGCCCCUAGAAAUGAGGCACUUUUGAAAUAAAUUGAUUAUUCUCAAAUAAAAGUUAUAAGUAUGAAAGGAAGGUCCAAAAUCACGUUACAAAUAUUGCAGCUUGAAGAAUAUCUACAUUUCUGUUAAUGAACUGUUCUGAACACAGGCGGCAAGACUUCGUAAUUUUCUUCCUCCGUUAAAAAUAAAGUGUGAACUUUUCAUAUUACCAAAUGUCGAAUGCAACUAGUAUAUAUAUUUUGGAAAAUGUAUUCCUGAACAAUAUAAACUUGCUGAGGAAUAACAGAUAAACACCUCAUACUAAAUGAUACUCAAACGACACGUGGUUGAGAAAAAAUAAAAUGAGUAUUGUAUUAAUAUUAUAGAAAAGAGAUACAAAGAAAUUAUAAAUAUUACUUACAUGUUUAAAAAUAAAAAAUGCUUCUGUAUCACUGUUCAAACUUGCUUUUGGAGUUGAAACACACAGAAUGUCUUUUUUAAAAAGAAAGACAUGGCAUAGUGAAAAUCUUAUUUUUAAAACAUGAAUAUUAUAAAGACCUAAGUGUUAAGAAUAAGAAAUGUUUAAUUAUAUAAUUCAAUUGAUACCCAAAAGAACUAUAAAAUGUAUGUCAUAUAAAAUCUUGCUGUUGAAGCAAAACUUGCAAAAGGGUCUCUUAAAAUGAUAUGGUAUGGUGGAAUCCAAUUAGAGAAAAAUAAAAUUUCAUAAGAAAAGCUUAUAAGAUCCUUGUAGAUACGCUUAAAACACUUUUAUGGGAAUUGUAGGAAGAAGGAGUCUUUGAACAUAAAUCAUAUUUGUGGCCAACAGAAAAUGUAUAACAAAUUACUAGAAUAACCCAACAUCCAACCAGCAGGUUCAUACAACAAGAGGGUGUCAUCAGAAAGCAGAAAAAAGAAAACAUAAAUACUGCUAAAAAUGGAAUAUCCAAUAUUCAUACUGAUAUGAUGGAGCUUUUAUGCCUAAAAUAUCUUAAUAAUGGGUGGGGUAUAAAGAAGGUAGUAAAGAUUUCUCAAUAGAGAAACAUUGUCACUGAAGAAAUUUCUGAACAGAAAAUCUAAUUCAUCCAAUACCAUGAUAUCCAACAAUGGAGAUUUCACACCAUCUUUGAAGCAAGGUUCAAGUGCUCAUGGAACUAUUACAAAAAGGGGCUGCAUGGAAAACAAAGUAUAUCAGUUAGAGCAAUGAAGCAUGUAGUUUCUAGACAAACAUGCAUGUGUGCACACACACAGAUGUAGAGAGAGAAUACCGUUUCUAAACUGACUGGUUUGCUAUCCUCAAUCAAUAUUUCAGCUAUUGUUCCUGACUGAUCAGCCUGCCACCAUGUAAUGAAAAUAACCAAUAAAUUAGAGGAUUUCGUUUCUGGCUAAUAGAAACUGUUUCUGAAGGAGAAUCGUUAUAUUAGCAAAAUGUGAAUUCAAUAGGCCCUUAGAGGGUCAUGUUUCCUCCAUGUUGAGAAAUGUUCAUAACAAAACACUCUGGAAUGACUCUUCCAUUGUAUUACUUUACUAAUUUCUCCACUGCCACAUAGUUUACUUAUAUCCUAAUCCAGAUUUUCUGUUAGCCUGUUGUUAUUGUUCCUCUGGUGUGCUUUCAAAAUAUACUGAUUUUAAUAUAUGAAAAGAGUUUAAUAUAUUUUAAAAUAUCAAAAUUAAUGCAAACCAAUGUAUUUUAAAGACUCAGCAGAGGAACAGCACAGAAAACAUGGCAGAGAAUCCAAAUUCCUUCAUACCACUCCUAGUGUAAUGUAUGCAGGGUGUAUUGCAUUAGGAUUUUAAAGGUUUUAAAAGACUCUUUUUAUAAGAGAUUUGAAUUCUGUUCUGUUUACUGUUAAGAACAGUCUUCACUAAAUCUUAAUACGAUUAAAAUAAAAUAAAAAAGCUAGUAAACCAGACAAGCAUGUUUUCCAUUCUUUUUUCAUAGUUUUAGUCGGUUUUUGUUUCGAUGAUAGAUUGAGUAAUAAAAGUAAUGAAUGUUUGGAAUUUAUUAAAUAGGACCUCUCUAGUUUAAAGAAAAGAGAAGAGUAUCUAAAAUCAUAAAAAAGUCUGAUGAUAUUAAAUAAAACCUUUUAAAUGAUGUAAAUAAAUUUUGUGGCAUUAAGUUAGGAUAAUUAGGAUUUUUCAAAUGAUUAAUGAGUUAACUGUGACUAGAGAGCUAAAACAGAAACAUAUUUGAGAAGCUCAACCAGGUCUGUGCUUGUAGAUUUAUUAACUGCCAGAUUUUUGUAUCAAAGAUUUCUGUACAGUACUAUGGGAAAACAUAAAGUAAACAACACAGUGAGAGAAAAAAUGUAAUGAUAUACUAGAACAAACAGGAAAACAAAUGAAUAUACCUCAAUUUCAUUCAUCAGUUUCAUAGCCUCAAUAAUGCAAAUAACCUGCCCUUUCUUCACUUUAUCACCCACCUGAAGCAACAGCAGAAAUAGUUAAUCUCUUCAUUGAUUAACUUAGCAAUCAAAGUAAUACUCAGUUUCAUGAAUUUUCCUUUGCAAAUUGACACCUCAAGAGAAAAAAGAGUGGCUUUUAAAAUGUGUAUGUCUACAAACCUUGACAAAUGGAGGUUCACCAGGUGCUGGACUCCUGUAGAAAGUUCCUGCCAUCGGACUUUUCAGUGGUGGGUGAGAAGAUGAGCUUGCUUUUGCAGGGGAAGGCAAUGCAGGCAGUGCUUUCUGGGGGGGAGAGGUAGUAGGAGCAGCAGCUGGUGCUACCGGUGGUGGUGGAAAUGCGGCAUAUAUAGGAGGUGGUGAUACUGGCGCUGCAACUGGUGGAGGCUGCACUGCUUCCUUUUUUCUUAUCAUGAGCUCAUAGUCUGAUUGCUUAAGUUGAAGUUCCACAAUAUCUCUUGAAUCAACGAGUCUAGCCAUGGAAAUGGUAUUAAAUGAAAUAGAGGAAAAUAAGGCAUACACUUGCAUUAGACAUGAUAAAUACAAAAGAAUAGGAGAUUGUAUGCAAAAUGGAGUUCAGAUUCUCUGCUAGGUUUUUUGGUGCUAUCCUCUUGUGAGCAUUAAAAAUACAGUGAUGUUGGUACAUUAAAAUUAUUUUUAAUAUGUUCUUAAACAUCAAAAUUAGUGUCCAUCAGUGUUAUCCGAAUUCAAAAUGAAUCUACUUAAUCUUACUUUACAAGGUCUGCAACUUGAGACAUGAAUGCAGUAACUGAAGCUUCAUCUGCAAUAGUGCCACCAGACUGUUUUCCCUUAGGCACUUCUUUUUCUUUUGAUGAAGCAACAUCAGGUCCUUUGACCGCUACCGGGGCAGAAUUAGAAUUAGAAUUUUCGACUUUAGCAGCCUACAGUAUGCAAAGCAGGGUAACUUAUGGUGAAUUUUCUGAAUCUAAUCAAGGACACGUUUGAACAGGGUGAUGAAGUUUCAUUCAGAAUAAAACUCAAUGUGAACUAAUAACACAGAAAACAAAAGGCUAAGUGUAAACUGACCUUCAGAACAGAAUAUUGCUUCCUGUUAGAACACUGCAAGAGACAACAAAUAAUAAUAUGAAUUGACUAGUUAUAAUUUCUCCAAUUUUAAUCACAUUGAAAACAAAUGGCAGAUCAGCUAACAUAACAAGCACAACAACUUGAAUGCAUUUUAGUUGCAGUUGUGCUUCAUUCAGAGACAUCAGUAACAAUGAAAAUGCUUCUACAAGUGAGAACAUGCUGAAAAACUUCGGUGUAGUUCCCACGUAGGAAAAUCAAGUAUGAGAUGAGUAUUGUGAGAAUAAUAAAAAAAUUAAUAGGCAUCACAAACUAUUAAUAUUUACCAUGCUUCAACAUAUAAAAUACCGUAUAUUGCUGAAAAGACUGUUCUCAAAACAUUGAUCACCCACAACAAAAUUGUGUCUAACAAAAAGUUGUUACAUAUUUCUGAUUAUUGUCUUAACUUAGACCAUUUAUGCUCAAUACUAGAUUCAAUAUGCUGAUUCAGAAAAUUUUAGGAAAAUCAUUGAUGAAGGUACCGUGAUGAAGCUUCCGUUACAUCGUUAUCACUAAAAUAAAUCAAUUGAGCAAAAUAGCCAGAGAAUAAAUAUUUUUCUUGUGAUUACAUAAUUUGUCAUCCUUAAAUCAUUGAUAAAGGUAUCAUUUCUCCAUUUACAACUAAAAUCAAUUGAUCAAAACAUUAACACAAUCACAGAAGAAAUACUAUUUUUCUUUUGUCGAUUGCAUAACGUGUCAUCCUUAAAACAUUACAUGCUCAAUAAACAGAAAUUCACAGGCAAAAGAAUUAUCUCUCUCUCUCUCUCUCUCUCUCUCUCUCUCUCUCUCGUUCUUUUAUGGAUAUAUAUAGAUGUGAAAACUCGUACCUGAAUUCUAGAUGAUGCAGAUUCAGCAGACAAAGGACUGAAUGAUAGAAAAGGCUUGAAGCUGAACCCACUUUGAAAGGGAACCUGUUGGGAUUUCAACCCCAGAGAGGAAAAAGAAGUAGAA
rnacentral:lncRNA from 1 species